AUACAUAAUCAAAAAUUGUUAAUAAAAGUUAAAAACGAUUCUGAGUCUGUUCAGAAUCCGGGGCUUUCUCUUUUCCUAGGCAGCUGUAAGUUUAUAUUUAUGCAUAGUCAUAUAUGACAUUGCUAAGUAAAAGGAAAGUGAACAAAAGUUGCAAUUCAAAUGUUGAUAGUUUAUUGACUUCUAUUAAAUAGGUAUGCAUAAGAUGACUCCACCAAUUAAAGAUCUGCUGCCUAGACUCACCCCCAUCUUAAAGAACAGACAUGAAAAAGUACAAGAGAAUUGUAUUGAUCUUGUUGGUCGUAUUGCCGACAGGGGAGCUGAAUAUGUAUCUGCAAGAGAGUGGAUGAGGAUUUGCUUUGAGCUUUUAGAGCUCUUAAAAGCCCACAAAAAGGCUAUUCGUAGAGCCACAGUCAACACAUUUGGUUAUAUUGCAAAGGCCAUUGGGUGAGUGUUAUUUACUUCCAUUAAAAAAAA
rnacentral:sRNA from 1 species